CAUUUUUAUAAUUCCAGGAGAUGGUGAGCCAGAAUGGACACACUAGUAAUCCCAUGAGAUUGUGAGCCUAUGUGGACAUAUUAGAAAUCCCAAAGGAUGAUGAGCCAGAGUGGACAUAUGUGUAAUUCCAGGAGAUGAUGAGCCAGAGUAAAAAUAUUUGUAAUUGCAGGAGAUGGUGAGCCAGAGUGGACACAUUUGUAAUUUCAAGAGAUGGAGAGCCAGAGUGGACACAAAAUUGUAAUUCCAGAAGAUGUUGAGCCAUGGUGAACAUAUUAGUAAUCCCAAAGUUUAGUGAGCCAGAUAGGAUACAUUUGUAAUUCAAGGAGAUGUUGAGGCAGAGAGGAC
rnacentral:lncRNA from 1 species